UGGCACAGUGGCUUAAGGAUCCGGCAUUGUCACUGCAGUAGCUCGGGUCACUGCUAUGGCUCAGGUUCAAUCCCUGGCCCAGGAACUUCCACAUGCCAUGGGUAUGACCAAAUAAAUAAAUAAAUAAAAAUGCGAAGCAACCUCUUAUAUGUGUAAUCUAAAAAAUAAUGCCAACAAAACAGAAGAAGACUCACAGACAUAGAAAACAAACUUACGGUUGCCAAAGAGGAAAAAGGGAGGAGGGAUAAAUUAGGAGUUUGUGAUUAACAGAUACACACUACUGUACAUAAAAGAGAUAAACAACAAGAUAUUGAUCUAAGUGUUCCCCCGAUGAAAGGAGACAAUGAGGGGAACAGGUCAGGACCAUCGGACUCCCUUGGAACGAGCAUGACUGGACUUUGGACAGGACCCUAAAACCAACACAACCAGAGAAGGACAGUCAGGAAACGGCAUCUGCAACUCAAAACCUAACGUCUCCCCCUGAAUGAGAAGAACUUCCAAAAAUCUGAGAAUACCAUUUGCUGCUUCGUGAGCGAGAAUGUGAAAAAUCAGAGGCCGUAAAUCACCCUGAGUUACCCCACAGAGAAUGGAAUGUAAGAUGAUACUAGGCACAUAUUUUCAUUAUAAGAGUACUAAAUAGUGGUAAGAAUUAAAAACUUGAGAAAGCAUAUGAAACAAGUAUGAAGAUCAUGAAAUCGACUUCAACUAAAUAUUGUAAAAGGAAAUAUAAUUAAAGUACAGAUUACGACUCCUUUGAAAUGAGGAUAGGGAUGUGGAACAGAAGGAACCAUAAAAAUUCAAUACUAGAAGCAGCAGCUAGAAAUGGAUUAAGAAAGUAAAAACCUCAGCAGCAUACACUGCAUCCUGUAACUUUUCCAACAAGGGAGAAAAUUUCGCUCUGAAAUAUAAAACAUAGUCAUCUACACCGGGAAAAAUACUUUUGACAAUUUUUUCUAUCUUUUAAUCAAAAUACAAAAAAGGAAAGGUAAAAAUCAUACACAAUCUCGUCAUUCUUUCAAAAGUAUAAACUGUAAGAAGUGACGGUCCCCUCCCCUGCUCCUCCAAUCCCACCCUCAGUCCCUGGAGCCACUUCAGGGACACAAUUCGGGGCCAAAUGUCCAUUAGCAUGCGCGUGUGCACAAUCGUGUACACAGCCCUAACUUAGACACAUACACGCAACUUUUAUAAAAAUAGGCAAAUUGGAAUUCCCUCAGGGGUUAGUGAACCCGACUAGCAUCCACGAGGACGCAGGUUUGAUCCCUGGCCUCGCUCAGUGGGUUAAGGAUCUGGUGCUACCAUAAGCUGUGGUGUAGGUCGCAGACUCGGCUUGGAUUCCGUGUUGCUGUGGCUGUGGUGUAGGCUGGCAGCUGCAGCUCCGAUUCAGCCCCCUACCGUGGGAACCUCCAUAUGCUGUGAGUGUGACCCUAAAAAAGACCAAAAAAAAAAAAAAAGGAAUUAAAAAUAAGCAAACAGGAGUUCCCGCUGUGGCAAAGCAGAAAUGAACCCAACUAGGAUCCAUGAGGAUGAUGGUUCGAUCCCUAGCCCUGCUCAGUGGGUUAAGGAUCUGGUGCUACCAUAAGCUGUGGUGUAGGUCGCAGACCCGGCUUGGAUCCCAUGCUGCUUCGGCUGUGGCUGUGGCAUAGGCCGGCAGCUACAACUCCAAUUGGACCCCUAGCCUGGGAACCUCCAUAUGCUGUGGGUACAGGCUUAAAAAAAAAAAAAAAAAAAAAAAAAAAAAAAAAAGGCAAACAUUCCGUAUGAGUCAUCGAUUUGCUCUCUUUCUGAAUAUAUUUUAGAAUUUAAGAUCUAAAAAAGGUAACAAGUUGAAUAUUUUUAAAGUAAUAUCAAAAAAGAGUAAAAAAUUGAUCAACUACUUUUCUAAGUGUACUUAGAGUAUCUCUGUGGCUUCUUUUUUUUUUUUUUUUUUUUUUUUUUUGCUGCACCCAUGGCAUAUGGAAGUUCCCGGGCCAGAGACAAAUCCAAGCUGAAGCUGCAAUCUAUACCACAACUGCAGCAAUGCUGGUCCUUUAACCCGCUGGUCCUUUAACCCACUGCUCCAGGCCAGGGACUGAACUCGCACUUCUGCAGCCAGUGCAACCUGGGCUGCUGCAGUUGGAGUCUUAACCCACAGUGCCACAGUGGAACUCCUCUGUGUGGUUUCUUUAAGAUUCCACAUAGCUCCCAGCCAUGGCACCUCUGGCAUCUUGGUUAAAGCCAGAUAUGAACAAGCGUCUCCCGAAGGCCAGUGUGAGAGCAGUGAACUAGGGAUGGUGUUGGAAUGGUGACCAGGAAAAAUACAGCCUGGGACGGAGAAAGGAGGAGCAGGGGAGGCAUACAGGCAUCUGUGUGAUGGGGAAAUGGAAAAAGGGAGGCACAAAGCCCAGCCACGGUCAUGCACAAAGCCAGGAGAAGCCCAGAGGUUCUGAGACCCAUCCAAGCAGCGCUCAUUAUACAUACAUGCUCUCUUCAACUGUCCAAUUAGCCAGGGCCCAGAUAAACUACUUAGGUCUAUACAAGGAAUUCGUAUGCAAUAAUGUCUUAUUUAAACUUUUUCCCCUCUAGUUAUAGAUAUAAUCCAUGUUCACGAUAGAAAAUAUGGAAAAGUCUGAAAAGUAAAGGGAAAUAACUAAUAACAAUCAUCUGUAUUAAAUCCAACCCAUUUCUUUCAACAUUUAUCCAACAGUCACAAUAUUUAUUAGGAUCCACCAUUGCCAGACACAUCAGAAAGCAACAGAGAAACAAAAAAUCCUUGGGAGUUCCUGGUGGCCUGGCAGUUAAGGCUUUGGCGUUGUCACUGCUGUGGCAAGCGUUCACUCUCUGGCCCUGGAACUUCCACAUGCCAUGGGUGCAGCCAAAAAAAAGAUUUUAAAAAGACACACAAAAAAAAUGAAGGAAAGAAAAAAACCUCUGCUCUCCUACAAUUUAUAUUCCACCAAGAGAGAAAGACAAAAAGCAAUAACACAGGCGUUCCUGCUGUGGCACAGUGGGUUUAGAAUCCAACUACAGCAUUUUGGGUCGCUGCAGAGGCAUGGGUUCGAUCUCAGCCUGGUGCAAUGCGUUAAAGUAUCUGGUAUUGCAGCACUAUGACUUGAUUCAGUCCCUGGCCUGGGAACUUCCAUAUGCUGCAGGUACAGCCAUAAAAAAAAUUUUUAAAGUAACAUGGACAAGCAGACUGAACAGAAUCUAGCAGGUGGUAGGUGCACAGAGGUCAAGAGAAGGGCAGCGUGGGUGGGGAGUGUGGCCAGGCAGCCAGGGCGGGAUGGAGGCGUUAGCAUAUUGAGAUCACCCUUCUCAACUUCUUAGACGGUGAGUGUGUCCUUGUGUCAUUACAUAUCCUUUUGCAAUAUGGUUUUCCACGUCUCAUGAAUGUAUUGUAAUUAAUUGCACCAUUCUGUUCUAUGCGGCAAUUAGGUUUUCUUUGUUUUAACUAUCAGAAAUCAAGCUUUAAUUUCCUCCAAAGUAAAGAAGAGGAACCACAUAGCAUGGAGCCCACUGUUGAGGCUCAUGGCACCUGUCACCACCCAGGACACAGCGUCUUCAAGCUCAGACCCUCAUCCUCCCUUUCAGUUAAGGUUCCUGCCACCUGACAGUCUUUUCAUCAACUCACAGAAGUGCUCCAGCUUCUCCCUCCCCCCACCACUGGCUGCUCUAUGUAAAAGGAACCUUUCCCUAGAUGUCCACCUGGCACUGUGACAGGUCUAGAGCAGAAGAUGCAAUAAAUAUCUCCUGGAUUAAUAAAUGGAUAAAAAAUGAAUGAGUACUCAAAAAUCACUCUGGCUUUCAGACAGUCAGGGAGCUGCUUAGAAAUUUCCUUUCUCACUAAGGCUUCCAUCCAUCAAGAGGAGUGAGUCAUGUCUUAGACACAUUCAGCAUCUUCCCACCAGGGCUGCAAAGCAUUAGUGCUGGAAAGUGCACAGAACCUGGACUGCCAGAGAAUACUAUUAACCAUCUAAAUUAAAUGCUAAGUAGCACACAGAGACUCUGCAGAAAACACUGCCAUUACUUUCCUUCUUUCUACUUAAAGAUGACAAUUAUACACUACCUUAUGCUUGAAACCUAAGUGAGAAGUAUAUCUUUUAAUAGACCAUAAGGUUGUUUCACCCUAAAUUCCCACCAUAGCAUUACAAACUGCUACUCUCAUCAAAAACAAAAACAAAAAAACAAAACAAACCAAAAACACUUAAACUGUUGCAUAAAGAAAGAAGAAAAGGGAGUUCCCAUUGUGGCUCAGCAGUUAACGAGACCGACUAGGAUCCAUGAGGAUGAGGGUUUGAUCCCUGGCCUGGCUCAGUGGGUUAAGGAUCAGGCGUUGCCAUGAGCUGCGGUGUACAGACCCGGCUAGGAUCCCACAUUGCUGUGGCUGUGGUGUAGGCCAGCAGCUGUGGCUCCGAUUCGACCCCUAGACUGAGAACUUCCAUAUGCUGCAAGUGCGGCCCUAGAAAGCAAAAAAGAAGAAGAAGAAGAAGAAAGAAGAAAAGCUUUAAAAUGAUGUGUAUAAAAACCUGGCAGACAAUGCAAUUCGUGUUGUGGCUCAGUGGGUUAAGAACCCAACAAAGCAUCUCGGAAGAUGGUUCCACCCUUGGCCUCACUCAGUGGAAGAAGGAUCUGACAUUGCCACAGGCUGCGGUGUAGGUCACAGAUGCAGACCAGAUCCUGCGUUGCUAUUGCUCUGGCUGUGGCGUCAUAGGUCGACAGCCGCAGCUUCAAUUCGACCCCUAGCGUGAGAACUUCCAUAUGCGGUGGGUGCAGCCCUAAAAGGGAAAAAUAAAAGCCAAAAUAAUGAGAAUGGACAAAAGGAAGGAAAGAGUGCAGAUAAUUCUUUUGAAAAGUCUUGCAGGGAAAGGGAGGAGAAGACAGAAAAUUGCUACCAAUAGAAGGGGGUUCAAGAGUGCAUAUUUCAAGAUGGAAGGUAUUCUGAAUGCUGAUGAGGCGACCAGGGAAGAGGGGAAAUUACUGACGUAGAGAGAGUAGGAUCGAUUUAGAGAGAUGUCCCUGAGUGGGUGAGAGGUGACAGAGUUGAGCACAAGCAAGACAGGCCCUGGACAGACACACAGAUCAGAGUGUGGGUGUUUGAGCAGGAAGGAAAUCAGCAUCUAGAAGUGCAGGUGCAGUGGGUUGGUAGAUUUAGCUGAAAGGAUAGAUCUGUGUCUCCAAAGUCAAAAAUCUCAAAAUGCAAAAAAAAAAAAAAGAAGAAAUGCCGUACCUCUUGACCUGUGAAGGAGAGCUCUCAGAAUAUGAAACAGGCUCCUUGAGAGUAAUAGAGAAUACCCCCAAAUUAAGGAGGAGACACCAGAAAGCACAGGAAACCCACUGAGGAACGGAAAGGAAGAGACUGCUUGCAGUGUAGGGGACCCUGGCUGCAGAGACAACAGGACAAGAACGGAAAAUGCAUGAACAGGGACCCAUCACUACCGCCAGGCACGGUGCUCAGUCAUCUCCACGUG
rnacentral:lncRNA from 1 species